rnacentral:rRNA from 1 species
AUGGCGAACCUGAUCAGCCAUGCCGCGUGUGUGAAGAAGGCCUUCGGGUUGUAAAGCACUUUCCCUGUGGAGGAAAAGAGCAUGUUUAAUACACGUGCUCUGUGACGUUUCUCGUCAGAAGAAGCACCGGCUAACUCCGUGCCAGCAGCCGCGGUAAUACGGAGGGUGCAAGCGUUAAUCGGAAUUACUGGGCGUAAAGCGCGCGUAGGUGGUUUGUUAAGUGGAAUGUGAAAGCCCUGGGCUCAACCUAGGAAUUGCAUCCCAAACUGGCAAACUAUGAGUACAAGAGAGGGGAUGUGGAAUUUCCUGUGUAGCGGUGAAAUGCGUAGAUAUAGGAAGGAACAUCAGUGGCGAAGGCGACCCCCUGGCUUGAUACUGACACUGCAGGUGCGAAAGGCGUGGGGAGCAAACAGGAUUAUGAUAACCCUGGUAGUCCACCGCCGUAAAACGAUGUCUAGCUAUGUCCGUUGGGGAGAGCUUGAUCCUCUUUAGUGGCGACAGCUAAACGCGAUAAGUAG